rnacentral:rRNA from 1 species
AUACGGAGGGGGCUAGCGUUGUUCGGAAUUACUGGGCGUAAAGGGCGCGUAGGCGGCCCAUAAAGUCAGACGUGAAAGCCCCGGGCUCAACCCAGGAACUGCGUUUGAUACUGGCGGACUAGAGUUCGGGAGAGGAGAGUGGAAUUCCCAGUGUAGAGGUGAAAUUCGUAGAUAUUGGGAAGAACACCAGUGGCGAAGGCGGCUCUCUGGAACGAUACUGACGCUGAGGUGCGAAAGCGUGGGGAGCAAACAGGAUUAGAAACCCCAGUAGUCC